ACAUGAAUCAAUAUGGCCGAAUGAUCAUUUUCACGAUGAGAGCCUCACAGGGUCUGAUCCAGAAACCAGAGCAGGAGCAGCUGGUGUAACUGGAAGAGCUCGUGGAACAUCUCAGCACCAACAGAUCAGCUUAUUGCUACACGUGUGUUGCUGUUGUGAGCUUGGAGCUAGAUCACAUCAUAUCACAAAGGAAGCUACUGAUUUUGGCCUUGUGACACUUGGUGCUGACAUGCAAGCUGAUUCACCUGGACACUAUAUACCACGAGGCAGGCACACGUCAAGGUUCUAGAGCACAUAAGAUCCAUUUUGAACACCGACUACAGCAAAAUCCUUUGAUGCAUCCAUGCUGCUCAGUACCAGAACUGCACUGAUGUCACUUUUUACCAAAGAACCAAUCAGCUGGCAAAGAUGCUGUUGAACAUAAGAACGGUGGCUCCUGAGUGAAACUGAACUUUCAGCUCCAUAUACAGAGAUCCAGGUUCAGGUGGGACACGAAGCAGCAUCUACAAAGACACGUGAAAAAGGACCAGAAAGCCAGGAACAAAUGAAGGACUCUAACCCUCUCCUGCAGUGUGUUCAUUGCUGUACUGCCCAGAGACCUUCUUGACCAACAUGUGCACAUCCAGUUUUGGAAUGGACUGACACUUUGCUGAUGUGCACCAAGAACUUGUUUAGUGGUCUAAAGGUGUGAAAUAAAUAAGCCCCCAUGUCACAGUAAACUCCCAUGACAGCCCAUCUGGCACAUGAGUGGAGUUGUAGAAGGUACUGUAGCUUCUCAAGUUGCAGACUAAAAAUACUGUUGUGACAUCACUGGAGGCUUCAUCUGGACCUGAUUGUUAAUGUAUUUAUUUUUAUUGCUUUGACAGAACUCAAGUUGUGAACUAAUGCUAAAUAAAUCAACUGAAUUAA